GAUGAACGCUGGCGGCGUGCCUAAUACAUGCAAGUCGAGCGAACAGACGAGGAGCUUGCUCCUCUGACGUUGGCGGCGGACGGGUGAGUAACACGUGGAUAACCUACCUAUAAGACUGGGAUAACUUCGGGAAACCGGAGCUAAUACCGGAUAAUAUAUUGAACCGCAUGGUUCAAUAGUGAAAGACGGUUUUGCUGUCACUUAUAGAUGGAUCCGCGACGCAUUAGCUAGUUGGUAAGGUAACGGCUUACCAAGGCGACGAUGCGUAGCCGACCUGAGAGGGUGAUCGGCCACACUGGAACUGAGACACGGUCCAGACUCCUACGGGAGGCAGCAGUAGGGAAUCUUCCGCAAUGGGCGAAAGCCUGACGGAGCAACGCCGCGUGAGUGAUGAAGGUCUUCGGAUCGUAAAACUCUGUUAUUAGGGAAGAACAAAUGUGUAAGUAACUAUGCACGUCUUGACGGUACCUAAUCAGAAAGCCACGGCUAACUACGUG
rnacentral:rRNA from 1 species